rnacentral:rRNA from 1 species
GACGAACGCUGGCGGCGUGCCUAAUACAUGCAAGUCGAGCGGACAGAAGGGAGCUUGCUCCCGGAAGUUAGCGGCGGACGGGUGAGUAACACGUGGGCAACCUACCCUGUAGAUCGGGAUAACAUCGAGAAAUUGGUGCUAAUACCGGAUAAUCAUUUGAAGUGCAUGCUUCGAAUGUAAAAGAUGGCUCCGGCUAUCACUACGGGAUGGGCCCGCGGCGCAUUAGCUAGUUGGUAAGGUAAUGGCUUACCAAGGCAACGAUGCGUAGCCGACCUGAGAGGGUGAUCGGCCACACUGGGACUGAGACACGGCCCAGACUCCUACGGGAGGCGGCAGUAGGGAAUCUUCCGCAAUGGACGAAAGUCUGACGGAGCAACGCCGCGUGAGUGAUGAAGGUUUUCGGAUCGUAAAGCUCUGUUGUUAGGGAAGAACAAGUGCCGUUUGAAUAAGGCGGCACCUUGACGGUACCUAACCAGAAAGCCACGGCUAACUACGUGCCAGCAGCCGCCGUAACAC